CCCAUGCUGUAUUCUGAAAAGAUC
rnacentral:piRNA from 1 species